rnacentral:rRNA from 1 species
AUUGAACGCUGGCGGCAUGCUUUACACAUGCAAGUCGAACGGUAACAGGCCUUAGGUUGCUUACGAGUGGCGGACGGGUGGGUAAUGCAUCGAAACGUGCCCAGAUGUGGGAGAUAACGCAGCGACUGCUGUGCUCGUACCGCAUUUGCUCUGAAGAUGAAAGCAGGGGACAGAGCAGCAAUGUUUGCCCUCGCGCCUCUGUAUCGGCAGAUGUCAGAUUAGGUAGUUGGUGGGGUAAAGGCCUACCAAGGCGACGAUCUGUAGCUGGUCUGAGAGGACGACCAGCCACACUGGGACUGAGACACGGUCCAGACUCCUACGGGAGGCAGCAGUGGGGAAUUUUGGACAAUGGGCGCAAGCCUGAUGCAGCAAUGCCGCGUGCGGGAAGAAGGCCUUCGGGUUGUAAACCGCUUUUGUACGGAAGGAAAAGGGUAUGGCUAAUACCUGGGGCUGAUGACGGUACCGGAAGAAGAAGCACCGGCUAACUACGUG